UGGGGAAUAUUGGACAAUGGGCGAAAGCCUGAUCCAGCAAUGCCGCGUGUGUGAAGAAGGCCUUCGGGUUGUAAAGCACUUUAAGUUGGGAAGAAAAAGCUUCACCUAAUACGUGAAGCCUUGACGGUACCGACAGAAUAAGCACCGGCUAACUCUGUGCCAGCAGCCGCGGUAAUACAGAGGGUGCAAGCGUUAAUCGGAUUUACUGGGCGUAAAGCGUGCGUAGGCGGUUUGUUAAGUCGGUUGUGAAAGCCCUGGGCUUAACCUGGGAAUUGCAGUCGAUACUGGCAGACUCGAGAACGGUAGAGGGAGGCGGAACUCCAGGUGUAGCGGUGAAAUGCGUAGAUAUCUGGAAGAACACCGAUGGCGAAGGCAACCUCCUGGGCCUGUUCUGACGCUGAGGCACGAAAGCGUGGGUAGCAAACAGGAUUAGAUACCCCUGUAGUCC
rnacentral:rRNA from 1 species